UUAUGGCCAUAUCAUGGUGAAACACUGGUUCUCAUAUGACCACCAAAGUUAAGCAGCGUUAAGCCUGGUCAGUGCCUAGAUGGGUGAUUGCUUGGGAAUAUCAAGUGCU